UCCACUACUCAGUUGGUAGAGGACAAAGCUCUUAACCUUAUGGACGUGGGUUCAAGCCCCAUGGUGGAG
rnacentral:tRNA from 1 species